AACAAAGAAAAUAAUUAAAUUUAGAAUUUAAAGUUUACAAAAAUAUUUGUACUUUGUUA
rnacentral:tRNA from 1 species